AUUGAACGCUGGCGGCAGGCCUAACACAUGCAAGUCGAACGAGUGGCGGACGGGUGAGUAAUGUCUGGGAAACCGCCUGAUGGGGGGGGAUCACCACUGGAAACGGUCUCUAAUACCGCAUUCUAUCGGAUGUGCCCAGAUGGGAUUAGCUAGUAGGUGGGGUAAAGGCUCACCGAGGCGACGAUCCCUAGCUGGUCUGAGAGGAUGAACAGCCACACUGGAACGGAGACACGGCCCAGACUCCUACGGGAGGCAGCAGUGGGGAAUAUUGCACAAUGGGCGCAAGCCUGAUGCAGCCAUGCCGCGUGUAUGAAGAAGGCCUUAGGGUUGUAAAGUACUUUCAGCGGGGAGGCGUUACCCGCAGAAGAAGCACCGGCUAACUCCGUGCCAGCAGCCGCGGUAAUAC
rnacentral:rRNA from 1 species